rnacentral:rRNA from 1 species
UAAUACGGAGGAUCCGAGCGUUAUCCGGAUUUACUGGGUUUAAAGGGUGCGUAGGCGGGUCGUUAAGUCGGCGGUGAAAUGCGGGGGCUCAACCUUCGAGCUGCCGCCGAAACUGGCGACCUUGAAUUCGGUCGAGGCUGGCGGAAUGCGUGGUGUAGCGGUGAAAUGCUUAGAUAUCACGCGGAACGCCGAUUGCGAAGGCAGCUGGCCGGGCCGAGAUUGACGCUGAGGCACGAAAGCGUGGGGAUCAAACAGGAUUAGAUACCCUGGUAGUCCACGCCGUAAACGAUGAUCACUGGAUGUUGGCGAUACACCGUCAGCGUCUGAGCGAAAGCAUUAAGUGAUCCACCUGGGGAGUACGGUCGCAAGAUUGAAACUUAAAUGAAUUGACGG